ensembl:lncRNA
UGCAUAUAACAUAUGUGGGGGCAGGGGUGGCUUAACGGUUAAGGCUCUUGGUUUCUGAUCGGAAGGUUGGGGGUGCAAGGCCCUUAACCCUCUCUGCUCCAGGGGCACCGUAUCACAGCUGACCCUGUGCUCCGACCCCAGCUUCCUGACAUGCUGGGGUAUGCGAAGAAAACAAUUUCACUGUGCAUAUGUAUAUGUGAUCAAUAAAGACUCAUUACCAUUAUCAUUAAUGUAUUAGUCAUAUAUCUUCAUGUCCUCUUAUGAUUGCAAGUUUGAGUGAGUCACUCGUAAUAGAUCUUCAUGAUCAUGGAAAAGCUUUGUUUAUCUCUGCCAAACACAGACAACCCCAUUAUUUGCAUGGCAGUACAAGUUGAAAAAAAUUGUACAUUCACAUUUAAAAAAAAAAAAAAAAGGAAUGUUCUUAUCCAGACACGUAGGCAAGCCUAUGCCAUUAUGGAAAGUAGCUGAAUGUGCUUCAAAAUGAACACACAGUAUUUAUUUAGUGUUUAUUUAGUCAAUCGGAGCAUCCCGUAUGUUUUUACGCUCUGAAAUGCAUUAAAUGUUUGUAUUAUUAGAGCAACGGAUCGCCUUCACCUACCUAAUCUUAUAUUUGGUACAGCUAUAAGUCACCUCCAAGUAUUUGGAGACACCUACGCAAGGAUCAGAGAAAACCUCAGUUGAAGCUCUUAGCUUGCAAGACUUCUUCCCACUGCACCUGCAUUCAAUUAGCAUCAAAGAAAUCUUUUUCUUCUUCUUUUUUUCUUUUUACUAAUGUGAUAGAACAUUCCAUUUCCUGUUGUUUGAAGAAGCUUUGAUUACCUGGAGCGUACGUUAUAGGUCUGGGGGUAGAAACAGAUUUAUUUGCUAAGAGUGAAACGCAUGUUGGACGAUCCCUCCUACCAUAGUUGGCAUGAUGGGUGAAAAUUAGCCCCGUGUCUUUUGUACAAAACACAUUUUAUCCUCCUGAGACUUCACCCAUUGACCUGUGUCCUCUAUAGUGGACUUAUUGUUUUCAUGCAUGUCCUUUUACUUUUUUGAGCUACUCUAGCAAUUCCUGCUGUACUAUACAGAGAACAUCCAGGGAUUUCUAGUGAUAUGUCAUGUUAUAGUCUGAGAUGCUAGGAACAACUUCUUACACUGUGUGUAUAUAUAUACACUGUACAUAUGUAUGUGUGUGUGUGUAUGUAUGUAUAUAUAUAUAUGUAUGUAUAUGUAUAUAAGUGCAGACCAUAUACAUCCAAAAUGGCCGGCAUAGGAACAGGAACAUUUUAUGGAAAGAAGAAUGAUAACUAAAAUAUUGUAAGUGUCAGAAAUAAUAAAUUUAGUUCUGAAAGCAGUUAAAUUGUUUCAUUCAAAAUAUUAGCUUUUUUAUGAAUGUCAGUUAUAGUGGACACCAGGACCAUCUUAAUGUACUUAACACACACACACACACACACACACACACACACACACACACACACUAUUCACUACAACCUGUGAUAAAUCAUCAGUGACAAAUAUAAUUUAUCAAUGAGGCUUGAAGAUUAUCCACGUGGUAUCAUGAAAUCUGCAAACUGGAUAAAGAAUGCAAAGUUUGUACUUUUUAUUUUGACAAAUUGUAUCAACAGAAAGUGCCCUUCACUAAUAUUGGCACCCUUGGUAAAUAUGAGCAAAGAAGGCUGUGAAAAAUUAUUUUAUGUUUAACCUUUUGAUCUUUUGUUAAAAAAAGAAAUCACAAAAAUACACUGCUCUCAUGGAUAGCAAACAAUUGCAAAAAAAAACAAAAAAACGGGUUUAUAAAAUAAUUAAUCAGGGAUUAAUAUUAAACAGGGAUAUAUAUAUAUAUAUAUGUAUUAACACAUAGGACAAAUUCCCUUAGUCAUUCAUAACAAUGGGUAAGACCAAGGAAUAUAGCUGUGAUGUGCGGCAAAAGGUUGUUGAGCUUCACAAAUGGGGCGUGGCUAUAAGAAAAUAGCGCAAGCAUUGAAAACGCCCAUUUCCACCAUCAGGGCAAUAAUUACGAAGUUCCAGUCAACUGGAAAUGUUAUGAAUCGACCUGGAAUUGGACGUGUGUCUAUAUCAUCUCAACACACUGUGAAGAGGACGGUUCGAGUGACCAAAAAAAUCUCCAAGGAUCACAGCUGGAGAAUUGCAGAUGUUAGUUGUGUCUUGGGGUCAGAAAGUCUCCAAAACUACAAUCUGAAGUCACCUACAUCACCACAAGCUGUUUGGAAGGGUUUCAAGAAAAAAGCCUCUACUCUCAUCCAAAAACAAACUCGAGUGUGUUCAGUGUGCCAGACACUACUGGAACUUCAAAUGGGAUCGGGUUCUAUGGUCAGAUGAAACCAAAAUAGAGCUUUUUGGUAAUAAACACAGAGGUGGUUUUGGUGCACACAGAAAGGUAGCCAUAUGGAAAAGUACCUCAUGCCCACGGUUAAAUAUGGUGGUGGAUCUUUAAUGUUUUAGGGCUGUUUUUCUGCCAGAGGACCUGGACAUUUUGUUAGGAUACAUGGCAUCAUGGACUCCAUCAAAUAUCAACAGAUAUUAAAUGAAAACCUGACUGCCUCUGCCAGAAAGCUUCAAACGGGCCGUGGUUGGAUCUUCCAGCAGGACAAUGAUCCAAAACAUCAUCAACAUCAACACAGAAAUGGUUUACUGACCACAAAUUCAAGGUCCUGCCCUGACCAUCCCAGUCCUCUGACCUGAACCCCAUAGAAACCCUGUGGGGUGAACUGAAGAGGAGAGUCCACCAGCGUGGACCUCGAAAUGUGAAGGAUCUGGAGAGAUUCUGUAUGGAGGAACGCUCUCAGAUCCCUCGCCAUGGAUUCUCCAACCUCAUCAGGCAUUAGAGGAGAAGACUCAGAGCUGUUAUCUUGGCAAAGAGAGCUAGCACAAAGUAUUGACUAAAAUUGUGCCAAUAAUUGUUGCACAUAUGACUAUGCAUUAAAUUUUAAUUAAAAAAUAUGCUAUCAUCUUUGCAAUAACAAGCAAGAGAAACAAUUCAGAAUGAUCAUUUAUUUUUGUUUUGUUUUUUAAGUUGAAUUUAUUCUUCGAUUAAUAUCACUCUACAGCCAUAAUCUGUU